AUUGAACGCUGGCGGCAUGCCUAACACAUGCAAGUCGAACGGCAGCACAGCAGAGCUUGCUCUGUGGGUGGCGAGUGGCGGACGGGUGAGUAAUGCAUCGGGACCUACCCAGACGUGGGGGAUAACGUAGGGAAACUUACGCUAAUACCGCAUACGUCCUACGGGAGAAAGCGGGGGACCUUCGGGCCUCGCGCGGUUGGACGGACCGAUGUUCGAUUAGCUAGUUGGUAGGGUAAUGGCCUACCAAGGCGACGAUCGAUAGCUGGUCUGAGAGGAUGAUCAGCCACACUGGGACUGAGACACGGCCCAGACUCCUACGGGAGGCAGCAGUGGGGAAUAUUGGACAAUGGGCGCAAGCCUGAUCCAGCAAUGCCGCGUGUGUGAAGAAGGCCCUAGGGUUGUAAAGCACUUUUAUCAGGAACGAAAUACCACGGGUUAAUACCCUAUGGGGCUGACGGUACCUGAGGAAUAAGCACCGGCUAACUUCGUGCCAGCAGCCG
rnacentral:rRNA from 1 species